rnacentral:rRNA from 1 species
GCUCAGAACGAACGCUGGCGGCGUGGAUGAGGCAUGCAAGUCGAGCGAGAACCGGCGAGUAGCAAUACAAGCUGGGGAAAGCGGCGAACGGGUGAGUAAUGCAUGGGCAAUCUACCUUGAAGUUUGGAAUAGCCUGCCGAAAGGCGGAGUAAUACCGAAUGUGGUCGUCCCGCGCAUGCGGGACUGUCUAAAGGCGGGGAUCGCAAGACCUGCCGCUUCAUGAUGAGCCCAUGUCCCAUCAGCUAGUUGGUGAGGUAACGGCCCACCAAGGCUUACGGGUAGCUGGUCUGAGAGGAUGGUCAGCCACACUGGGACUGAGACACUGCCCAGACCCCUACGGGAGGCUGCAGUCGAGGAUCUUGGACAAUGCGCGAAAGCGUGAUCCAGCGACGUCGCGUGCAGGAUGAAGGCCUUCGGGUUGUAAACUGCUGUCGUGAGGGAACAAUAACCUGCGUGUGAACAAUACGCGGGAAUGAUAGUACCUCAGGAGGAAGCCACGGCUAACUCUGUGCCAGCAGCCGCGGUAAUACAGAGGUGGCGAGCGUUGUUCGGAUUUACUGGGCGUAAAGGGUGCGUAGGCGGUUUUGUGUGUUGGAUGUAAAAUCUUGCCGCUCAACGGCAAAACAGCAUCCAAAACUACAGGACUAGAGGUCAGGAGAGGAAGGCGGAAUUCUCGGUGUAGCGGUGAAAUGCGUAGAUAUCGAGAGGAACACCGGUGGCGAAGGCGGCCUCCUGGACUGAUUCUGACGCUGAGGCACGAAGGCCGGG